CAGGCUCUUUACAGUCCCCUCACGCCAUGGCAGUUGCCCGCUUCCCUGACCGCUGCCUCAGCCUCUCACCUGUUAACUGCUCUCUAGGGUUUGUUAUCACCCAGUUAAGUGCGGCUGCGCGCACAGUCAUUGCCAUCCUCGUCAAGGACCCGGAUGCUUCUUUAAUUUUUUUUUUCCCCCUCACCAUCUGUCUUUCCUUUUCCUUGCCAUCCUCGGCCUGUGCCGUCACCACCCACCUAGUCGUGCCUCUGGCUCUGCUCCUGAGGGAUUCUGCACCACAGACUCCAUGGCAGAGCCCAGGUCCUUUGUUGUUUUAGUUCCUUCACCCUCCUCGUCAGAUGGCGAGAACUUGAAUUCUGCAGUCUGCUCUCUAGGUCUGUGCAUAUGAAUACAGAUGCCUGGGGAGCCCAGAGGAGUGGAAUCCCUAGAGCUGGAGGUGCAGAUGGGCGCCAGAAGAGGACAUUAGACUCCUUGGGACUAGACAGGUCUCACAUUUGGGCAAGAAUAACACAGAAGCGAUUUUUUGUGUCCUCAGAGCCUCAUGUUGGGAGCCACAGGAUGCUGAUUACCCCAUAACUGAUGACACUCGUCUACACUAACAACACAAGAAGAGACUAACCCAAGGGGAAAGGCAGCCCAGAGUUCCCAACCAUGUCCCUGCAUCUGUGUAGGCAGAGACCUUUACAAUGGAGGCUUCAUGGGACCUGGGCACCUUUGGGAGUUAUAGCUGGAGUUACAAGUAUGGCAAGCGUCUGGACCUUGGUUUGAGUUUUUCUGUUGGCCUGCGGCUGGAAGAUCCUGCUAUCCUAAGCUUGGAGUGAGCCUUGUAGGCAAAUCAAGUGAGCUUACAGUUGGUCC
rnacentral:lncRNA from 1 species